GACAAUAUAUUUUAAAAACUUCAGACAAAAAAAUCAUGCCUCUUCCUUGAUAUGACUGUCCCGAUCGAUAAAAACGUAUCUGUCAAGACCUACCAAAAGCUGAGCAAGUUAAAGCUCUUGAAAUAGAAAUUAGCAAAAUGUGGAACCUCAAGACUAAAACAAUACCUGUUGUCAUAUGUGCCAUGGGAAUGACAGCAAAAGGUGCUGAUUGCUACCUAUCUCAGAUACCAGGAAACCCCAAAUUGGCAGAAAUUCAAAAGAUAGUGCUCAUGGGAACUGUCCAUAUCCUACGUAAAAUUCUAUGUAAUCUCAAAUUUUAAAACAA